rnacentral:lncRNA from 1 species
UCCAUUCUUGUAAAUUUAUUCGAUAUUCAACAAAUAUUCAAUACAAUUAAAAACAUUCAACAAAUUCGACAUUCAAGAAAACUAACAUUCGACAAAACUAACAUUCAAGAAAACAACAUUCAACAAAACUAACAUGGAAGAACUAUUUGGAUGGAGGAGUUUGAUAUCUUUGAUCGCUCUGACCUGCAUUACUUUUAUCUUGCAACGAUCCACGAUCUGAAGGUUGUGGAGUUGUAUUUGAUUGAGAUAUAAUUGUUUUCUUCAAGUCUUCAAACAUGUCAAACAUUUCAUCAUAUUUCAUUUUUAAAUUUCUUACACAGAUGUCCAGUUGGUUGCAUGUGCGUUGGCUCCCAUUCUACUUUAAAUCUUUCACCUUAUUUGGGGUGAUCUUUUGGAUGAUCUAAGUUUCUACCUCUUCUAUUUGGUAGACUCAAUUCUGAAAUAAAAAAUAAUGAGUCAAUAAAUACACAUAAAUCAAUCAAUUAUAUAAUAUACACAUCGAUUAUAAUUAGUUAGUUACCAUCAUUAUCUCCGAGGUUCGAGUCGGAGUCGGAAUUAGAUUCACCCAUUGUUGUUGGUACUUGAGUAGUUGGAGUACUCGAACCUUAAG